rnacentral:sRNA from 1 species
UUUUGGAUUUUGCCUUCAAGAGGUAUUCAUUCAUUCCCUCCCUCCCCUUUAUGAAACAUUUAUGCAUUGUAUUAUAUAGUACUGUAGUGUUGUUGUGUGCUGCUGUUUUUUUCUUAUAUAAUUUCAGGUAAUGUUGUGUCGUACUUUUUCCUGUCAAAUCCAUACUGCGUCAUGGCUUUACACAAAUCCCAGGGAGUCGCUGUUUUUCCUGCAUCAGCCAUCCUUUUAGACUCCGGGUCUCCAAGUGUUCGGACUUGCGUUGUAGCCGAAUUUUGCAUGAAGCCCCGCCGCAGAUUCUGUUUAUUUCCAGUGUCUCUGGCCAAUAAUAUGGGCUUCCGUCAUUUUGUCAUUGUCAAUGUUUUUCUACGUCAUAUAAUAUUGAAAAAGUCGGCGUAGACCAUUGUGCAUAAUACAUUGAACUUUUGUCAUUUAACCAUAUUGAACAUUUAUCAAACUUCAUUGAUCAUUUUUGUUGUGACCGUUGUUUAACCAUUGAUACCUCAAUUCAUUGUUCAUUGAAGUCUUAUUCUAUAUAUUGUAUUCUUUGCCAUUUAUUAUACUUCUAAAGUAAAGCCAUGACAAAAAACUG